rnacentral:lncRNA from 1 species
GAGCUUCCACUAUCAAUAAGAAUGCGGCGUACAUCAUAGUCAGCAAUAUUUAAAGAAACUACAACCGCAUCAUUAUGGGAGAAUUAAAUCUCCCAGGCAUCUUCUUCAGUAAAGAUUAUAGAUUCUUCAAUCUUCUGCUGCUUGGACGGUCUAAUCGAUCCACUAGCUGCUUUCCGUCGGGGUCCUCCAGAGAUGGUGUUGACGAUCCUGAUUGGAGGCCGAUCUUCAGGUCGUUCUUCUCUUCUUGGCGGCUCUGGUUGUGGUAGGGCCCUCAGUCGAUCUUCCCUACCUUUAGGCC